rnacentral:rRNA from 1 species
UUAAGCGACCAAGCGUACACGGUGGAUGCCCUGGCAGUCAGAGGCGAUGAAGGACGUGCUAAUCUGCGAUAAGCGCCGGUAAGGUGAUAUGAACCGUUAUAACCGGCGAUUUCCGAAUGGGGAAACCCAGUGUGAUUCGUCACACUAUCAUUAACUGAAUCCAUAGGUUAAUGAAGCGAACCGGGGGAACUGAAACAUCUAAGUACCCCGAGGAAAAGAAAUCAACCGAGAUUCCCCCAGUAGCGGCGAGCGAACGGGGAGGAGCCCAGAGCCUGAAUCAGCAUGUGUGUUAGUGGAAGCGUCUGGAAAGGCGCGCGAUACAGGGUGACAGCCCCGUACACAAAAGCGCACAUGUUGUGAGCUCGAUGAGUAGGGCGGGACACGUGGUAUCCUGUCUGAAUAUGGGGGGACCAUCCUCCAAGGCUAAAUACUCCUGACUGACCGAUAGUGAACCAGUACCGUGAGGGAAAGGCGAAAAGAACCCCGGCGAGGGGAGUGAAACAGAACCUGAAACCGUGUACGUACAAGCAGUGGGAGCACAGGUUUACCUGUGUGACUGCGUACCUUUUGUAUAAUGGGUCAGCGACUUAUAUUCUGUAGCAAGGUUAACCGCAUAGGGGAGCCGAAGGGAAACCGAGUCUUAAUUGGGCGUUAAGUUGCAGGGUAUAGACCCGAAACCCGGUGAUCUAGCCAUGGGCAGGUUGAAGGUUGGGUAACACUAACUGGAGGACCGAACCGACUAAUGUUGAAAAAUUAGCGGAUGACCUGUGGCUGGGGGUGAAAGGCCAAUCAAACCGGGAGAUAGCUGGUUCUCCCCGAAAGCUAUUUAGGUAGCGCCUCGUGAACUCAUCUCCGGGGGUAGAGCACUGUUUCGGCUAGGGGGCCAUCCCGGCUUACCAACCCGAUGCAAACUGCGAAUACCGGAGAAUGUUAUCACGGGAGACACACGGCGGGUGCUAACGUCCGUCGUGAAGAGGGAAACAACCCAGACCGCCAGCUAAGGUCCCAAAGUCAUGGUUAAGUGGGAAACGAUGUGGGAAGGCCCAGACAGCCAGGAUGUUGGCUUAGAAGCAGCCAUCAUUUAAAGAAAGCGUAAUAGCUCACUGGUCGAGUCGGCCUGCGCGGAAGAUGUAACGGGGCUAAACCAUGCACCGAAGCUGCGGCAGCGACGCUUAUGCGUUGUUGGGUAGGGGAGCGUUCUGUAAGCCUGCGAAGGUGGCCUGUGAGGGUUGCUGGAGGUAUCAGAAGUGCGAAUGCUGACAUAAGUAACGAUAAAGCGGGUGAAAAGCCCGCUCGCCGGAAGACCAAGGGUUCCUGUCCAACGUUAAUCGGGGCAGGGUGAGUCGACCCCUAAGGCGAGGCCGAAAGGCGUAGUCGAUGGGAAACGGGUUAAUAUUCCCGUACUUGGUGUUACUGCGAAGGGGGGACGGAGAAGGCUAUGUUGGCCGGGCGACGGUUGUCCCGGUUUAAGCGUGUAGGCUGACUUUCCAGGCAAAUCCGGAGAGUCAAGGCUGAGGCGUGACGACGAGGCACCACGGUGCUGAAGCAACAAAUGCCCUGCUUCCAGGAAAAGCCUCUAAGCAUCAGGUAACAUCAAAUCGUACCCCAAACCGACACAGGUGGUCAGGUAGAGAAUACCAAGGCGCUUGAGAGAACUCGGGUGAAGGAACUAGGCAAAAUGGUGCCGUAACUUCGGGAGAAGGCACGCUGACAUGUAGGUGAAGUGGUUUACCCAUGGAGCUGAAGUCAGUCGAAGAUACCAGCUGGCUGCAACUGUUUAUUAAAAACACAGCACUGUGCAAACACGAAAGUGGACGUAUACGGUGUGACGCCUGCCCGGUGCCGGAAGGUUAAUUGAUGGGGUCAGCGCAAGCGAAGCUCCUGAUCGAAGCCCCGGUAAACGGCGGCCGUAACUAUAACGGUCCUAAGGUAGCGAAAUUCCUUGUCGGGUAAGUUCCGACCUGCACGAAUGGCGUAAUGAUGGCCAGGCUGUCUCCACCCGAGACUCAGUGAAAUUGAACUCGCUGUGAAGAUGCAGUGUACCCGCGGCAAGACGGAAAGACCCCGUGAACCUUUACUAUAGCUUGACACUGAACAUUGAGCCUUGAUGUGUAGGAUAGGUGGGAGGCUUUGAAGCGUGGACGCCAGUCUGCGUGGAGCCAACCUUGAAAUACCACCCUUUAAUGUUUGAUGUUCUAACGUGGACCCGUAAUCCGGGUUGCGGACAGUGUCUGGUGGGUAGUUUGACUGGGGCGGUCUCCUCCUAAAGAGUAACGGAGGAGCACGAAGGUUGGCUAAUCCUGGUCGGACAUCAGGAGGUUAGUGCAAUGGCAUAAGCCAGCUUGACUGCGAGCGUGACGGCGCGAGCAGGUGCGAAAGCAGGUCAUAGUGAUCCGGUGGUUCUGAAUGGAAGGGCCAUCGCUCAACGGAUAAAAGGUACUCCGGGGAUAACAGGCUGAUACCGCCCAAGAGUUCAUAUCGACGGCGGUGUUUGGCACCUCGAUGUCGGCUCAUCACAUCCUGGGGCUGAAGUAGGUCCCAAGGGUAUGGCUGUUCGCCAUUUAAAGUGGUACGCGAGCUGGGUUUAGAACGUCGUGAGACAGUUCGGUCCCUAUCUGCCGUGGGCGCUGGAGAACUGAGGGGGGCUGCUCCUAGUACGAGAGGACCGGAGUGGACGCAUCACUGGUGUUCGGGUUGUCAUGCCAAUGGCACUGCCCGGUAGCUAAAUGCGGAAGAGAUAAGUGCUGAAAGCAUCUAAGCACGAAACUUGCCCCGAGAUGAGUUCUCCCUGAGACUAUAAGUCUCCUGAAGGAACGUUGAAGACGACGACGUUGAUAGGCCGGGUGUGUAAGCGCAGCGAUGCGUUGAGCUAACCGGUACUAAUGAACCGUGAGGCUUAACCUU